rnacentral:rRNA from 1 species
UACGAAGGGGGCUAGCGGUGUUGGGAAUUACUGGGCGUAAAGCGCGCGCAGGUGGUGCGGCAAGUGACAGGUGAAAGCCCUCGGCUCAACCGAGGAACUGCCUGUCAUACUGCUGCGCUUGAGGCCGGGAGGGGGAAGCGGAAUUCCUGGUGUAGCGGUGAAAUGCGUAGAUACCAGGAGGAACACCGGUGGCGAAGGCGGCUUCCUGGACCGGUUCUGACACUCAUGCGCGAAAGCGUGGGGAGCAAACAGG